UUACGGGAGGCAGCAGUGGGGAAUUUUGGACAAUGGGCGCAAGCCUGAUCCAGCAAUGCCGCGUGCAGGAAGAAGGCCUUCGGGUUGUAAACUGCUUUUGUACGGAACCAAACGGUCUGAGUUAAUACCUCGGGCUAAUGACGGUACCGUAAGAAUAAGCACCGGCUAACUACGUGCCAGCAGCCGCGGUAAUA
rnacentral:rRNA from 1 species